AACGAACGCUGGCGGCAUGCCUAACACAUGCAAGUCGAACGAGACCUUCGGGUCUAGUGGCGCACGGGUGCGUAACGCGUGGGAACCUUCCCUUAGGUUCGGAAUAACUCCCCGAAAGGGGUGCUAAUACCGGAUAAUGUCUUCGGACCAAAGAUUUAUCGCCUUUGGAUGGGCCCGCGUUGGAUUAGCUAGUUGGUAGGGUAAAAGCCUACCAAGGCGACGAUCCAUAGCUGGUCUGAGAGGAUGAUCAGCCACACUGGGACUGAGACACGGCCCAGACUCCUACGGGAGGCAGCAGUGGGGAAUAUUGGGCAAUGGGCGAAAGCCUGAUCCAGCAAUGCCGCGUGAGUGAUGAAGGCCUUAGGGUUGUAAAGCUCUUUUACCCGGGAUGAUAAUGACAGUACCGGGAGAAUAAGCUCCGGCUAACUCCGUG
rnacentral:rRNA from 1 species